CAUGCGGCAGCCUACAAUGCAGUCGACGGUAACGACACUAGCUUGCUAGUGGGCGACGAGUGGCGGACGGGUGAGUAACGCGUAGGAAUCUACCUAGUAGUGGGGGAUAGCCAAGGGAAACUUUGGGUAAUACCGCAUACGAUCUACGGAUGAAAGGGGGCCUCUCUCUGAAGCUCUCGCUAUCAGAUGAGCCUGCGUAAGAUUAGCUUGUUGGUGAGGUAAUGGCUCACCAAGGCUACGAUCUUUAGCUGGUCUGAGAGGAUGAUCAGUCACACUGGAACUGAGACACGGUCCAGACUCCUACGGGAGGCAGCAGUCGGGAAUAUUGGACAAUGGGGGCAACCCUGAUCCAGCCAUGCCGCGUGUGUGAAGAAGGCCCUAGGGUUGUAAAGCUCUUUCGUCGGGGAAGAAAAUGACUGUACCCGAAUAAGAAGGUCCGGCUAACUUCGUGCCAGCAGCCGCGGUAAUACGAAGGGACCUAGCGUAGUUCGGAAUUACUGGGCUUAAAGAGUUCGUAGGUGGUUGAAAUAGUUGGUGGUGAAAUCCCAGAGCUUAACUCUGGAACUGCCAUCAAAACUUUUCAGCUAGAGUUUGAUAGAGGAAAGCAGAAUUUCUAGUGUAGAGGUGAAAUUCGUAGAUAUUAGAAAGAAUACCAAUUGCGAAGGCAGCUUUCUGGAUCAUUACUGACACUGAGGAACGAAAGCAUGGGUAGCGAAGAGGAUUAGAUACCCUCGUAGUCCAUGCCGUAAACGAUGUGUGUUAGACGUUGGAAAUUU
rnacentral:rRNA from 1 species